GGGAGGAGGAGGAGGAAGAGGAUGAAGACGAUGGCGGUGAUACAGGUGCAACGCUGAGUUCGCCGUCCCUCUUCUCUCUUCCCCCUUUUUUUCCCCCCAUUCCAGUUUGGACCACAUGUAUUUCAAUUAAAAGGGCAUCUUAGCGACAUAGAAGCAGAGGUAGUUCGGACCGAUCGGACGCGGUACCGCUCUUCACCGCCCUCCUGUCUCCGGAGCCGAGAGCGAGAUGGGGAACGAGGCGAGCAUGGAGGGCGGGGGGCAGCCCGGAGAGGCCGGGAUGAUGGGCUCCGUGAUGCCCGGAGGAGCCGCGACCGCAGGGCCGGGAGGACAGUACGUGAAGCCCGUCAACGGCUCGGCUGCCGGCGGAGGGAUGGGAGUCGGAGGCCCCGGGAUGGGGAUGACGAGGGGACCAAUGGGUCAGAUGGGUAGCCCCAAGCCUGACAUGCAACAAAGAGUUCAUGGGGGAGGAGGGAUGGGAGGAAUGGGUGGCAUGGGAAGUGGGAUGGGUGGAGGAAUGGGAGGCGGAAUGGGCAGUGGAAUGGCAGGUGGAAUGGGAGGCGGAAUGGGAGGAGGAAUGGCCACUGGAGGUGGAAUAGGCUCUAGAAGCGGUGAGCCCUAUCGCCUGGCCACCCAUGACACUCCAACCUCCCCCCGUCACAUUCAGUCAAGCCAGGGGUCCGGCACCGGCCAGGGCUCCGGCCACGGAAUGAGUCACAGUCCAGCUGGUACCGGAAUGGGAGCCCAUGCAGGACAGAGUCCUGGCCAGCACGCCUCCCGUCGAAACCUCCAAGUUGACUUCAACAGUCCAGGUGGCUCCAGGACAGGUCGAUCUCCGUCGGUGUCGCCGGACCGCGGCAUGACGCCCACCUCACCCUAUUCGGUGCCACAGAUCGCGCCCAUGCCAAAGAGCAAACUGUGUCCAGUGUGCACCACCACAGAGCUCUCCAACCCACCAGCUGUGCCCAACUACAACACCUGCACCCAGUGUAAGGCCACUGUGUGUAACCAGUGUGGAUUCAAUCCCAACCCACACCUCACUGAGGUCCAGGAAUGGCUGUGUCUCAACUGUCAGAUGCAGCGGGCUCUUGGCAUUGAUAUGACCACACCUCGUUCUAAGAGUCAACAACAGAUCCACUCGCCGUCCCACCAAGCGAAAUCUCUCGUCCAGCCUCAGCAGGCUGCACCUCAGCCAACACAGCCGGCGACUGCAGCACAGCCCAAACCUUUGGCACAGAGCCAGCCCACCCAGCAACAGCAGCAGCAACAACCGCAGACUCAACUCUAUGGCCAAACUCAGUCCUACUCCCAGUCACAGCCAUAUUCCCAGUCCCAAACAUACCCCCAGUCCCAGCCUUAUUCUGAGUCCCAGACAUACCCGCUGUCCCAGCACUAUCCACAAUCCCAGCAGUAUCCCCAGGUGCAGGAGCAUCCCCAGUCCCAACAGUAUCCCCAGUCCCAGCAUUACCCCCAGUCUCAGCAGUACCCCCAGUCCCAGCAGCACCCACAGUCCCAGCAGUAUCUCCAAUCCCAGCAGUAUCCCCAGUCUCAACAGUACCCUCAUUCCCAGCAGCAUCCACAGUCUCAGCAAUAUCCCCAGUCUCAACAGUAUCCCCAGGCCCAGCAGCAGCCUUACCCACAGUCCCAAGCCGGAUCCCAGGCUCAGCAGCAGCCUUACCCACAGUCCCAGUUCGGACCCCAGGGUCAGCAGCAGCAGCUACAGCAGCAGCCUUAUCCACAGUCUCAGUCUGGACCUCAGGGUCAGCAUUAUCCCCAGGCUCAGCAACAGCCUUAUCCACAGUCGGGGCCCCAGACACAGCCUCAUAGUUCACAAGGCUUACAAAGUCACACGUCUUCGAGUGGCCCCCAGAGCCAGACAGGUUCCUCCCAUCAGGCUAUGAGGCCUGACUCAUAUUCCCAGAGAGGUCCAAGAGCUGGUGGAGGUUCUGCAGGAGGCCCCACACAACCUGGUGGUCCGAGGAUCCCCCAUCCUGGCGCUAUACCCCUCCCUGGCUUGACAAAAGCACCUUCCCAACCCGAUUUGGGUCGUGGCUCUCCCAUGCACCAGUCAUUGGCACGGCACCAUGACCAGACCAGAAGCGCCGGCUCCUCUCCAGCUCAUAAGCCCCAGAGUCAGACCCAUCCUCCAGCCCAGGAUGGACUGACAAAGCUGUUUGGUUUUGGAGCUUCCUUGCUCAACCAGGCGAGUACUCUGAUCAAUGUAGACCCUUUGCCCACCUCUUCCACCCAUCCCAGUCCUGCACGGGGCAAGGUGGUAUUCAGUAAUGAGACCCCUGACAACAGGCAGCCACAACAAGGGGUCUCGGUUGCCAAACCAUUUGGCAUGGGGGGUUCUCAUGGUACGACUCCAAUAACUGGUCCUCAUGUGCCGGGCCAAAUGGGUGGCUCACAUGCACCAAACCAAAUGGUCGGCUCUCAGCCGCCGAACCAAAUGGGGGGCCCCCAUGCACCGAGCCAAUUGGGGGGUCCGCAUGCACUGAGCCAGGUGGGAAGUCCGCAUGCACUGAAGCAACAGCCUAAGCCUGUACCCCACCAACAAGGAAUGCCACAACAGCAGUCGCCCGCCCUUCAGCAAAAAGAUCCACAGCAACCUCAACACCGACAAAUGCCCUCACAUAUGCAGAAGGUGGAACCAAAGCAGGAGCCUGCGAUCGCUCCCAGCGCAGCUACGGAGCCAGUGAAGCCGAAAGUGACGUGUCCUCUGUGUAAAACAGAGCUGAACAUCGACAGCUCCGACCCACCCAACUACAACUCAUGUACGCAGUGCCAAACUCAAGUGUGCAACCUUUGCGGCUUCAACCCUACACCACAUCUGGUUGAGAAAAAAGAGUGGCUAUGUCUCAACUGCCAAACCCAGCGGCUAAUGUCCGGAGGAGGUCUGGAUGAGCCUCCUCUCUCUGUUCCUCACCCGUCCCCCAAACAUCAGCCCUCUGGGUCACUGCGCCAUCAGGCACCAGCCAGUCAACAAAGCCCUCUCCACAAAACCACCAAUCAACAGGGGUCCAAGCAAGCCCAGCCUCAGACACAGAAACCACAGCCGGGAACUGAAGGUAGUGAACAGUUUGUGCCUAAUGCUGCCAAACUGCCAACAGACACCAAGAACAUGAUACCAGCUACAUCUACUGGACCAACAGCAGAGACCCAGAAGAAGACGAAAACCACAGACGAAAAGCUGAAGAUGGAGCCUGAAAGCCAAACUGCCAAAGACAGCAAAACCCCUCUCAAGAAAGGAGAUCAAGUCACACCAAUCAAGGAAAUUAAGAAGUCAAGGCAUUACGACGAAACAAAAAACAACAGCACACAUGAUUUGUCCCGCAGCCCUCAGAGCCUCAGCGAUACUGGUUACUCCUCCGACGGCAUCUCCAGCUCCCACAGUGAAAUCACAGGACUAAUUCAAGAGGAGGAGAUGAAAUUGAGUGAGAGGGGCAUCAGUGGGCGGGGCUCCCCACCAAGCCCUUCAGAAAUCACUAAGCUGGAAAGCUCCAUGAGGCCUUUGCUGGAGAAAAGCCUUUCCGAAGACAAAGUGGACAGAAGGGGAAGGAAGCACAGGGAUAGAGACUUGGAUGACAGAGGGAAGCAGCGCCCACGCUCUUUGUCAAUCCCCCCAGAUGCAUAUGACUCGGAUGAGGAACUUGAAGACAUAAUGGAAGAAGAAGAACAGGGAGGAGAUUGGGAGAGUAAAUGGACAGAAGGGAAAGAGGAGAAAAAGGAAAAGAAAACGAAGGAAAAGGAAGUUCUUCCUACAGAGAUGACCGAUGAGGAGUUCAUGAGGAGACAGAUAAUGGAGAUGAGCGCCGAUGAGGAAAACGAUGAGGAAGAAGAGAUGGAGGAAGAUGAAGAUGAGGAAGAUGAAGGAUAUGGCUAUGAGCGAAAGAAAAGCCACCAUAAGCACAUCAUAUCUGAAACAGCAAAAGAGAAGCGCCGCCUGCAGCACCACUCUAGCAGUUUUGAGGAGGAAACAAAAAGCUCCACUGAUGUUUACAAAAGCUCAGUGGAAGAGGGUGAAGAAGAUCUGAUGGCAUCACAAGGUGGUCUGAGACGCUUUAAAACCAUUGAACUCAAUAACACCAACAGCUAUAGCAGAGACAUUGAGCUCAGUAACGAAAACGACUUGAGCCUUGAUCGUGAACCCGAACUGGAGAUGGAAAGUCUGACCGGCUCCCCUGAUGAGCGUUCUCGGGGUGACUACUCUUCCACUCUACCACCAACUUCCGCAUCCUCUUAUGGCUCAGGCCAGUCUCCUACAUCUAUCUCAUCAAUGGAAGAAGACAGUGACAGUAGCCCCAGCAGGAGACAAAGGUUGGAAGAAGCCAAGCAACAGAGGAAAGCAAGGCAUCGCUCCCAUGGCCCUCUCCUUCCUACCAUUGAAGACUCUUCAGAAGAAGAUGAACUGAGAGAGGAAGAGGAACUUCUGAGAGAACAGGAGAAGAUGAGAGAGGUAGAACAACAAAGAAUUAGAAGCACAGCACGGAAGACGAAGCGGGAUAAAGAGGAGCUGAGGGCUCAAAGACGUAGAGAAAGGUCCAAGACACCACCCAGUAAUCUUUCACCUAUCGAAGAUGCGUCUCCAACAGAGGAGCUAAGACAAGCUGCCGAAAUGGAAGAACUCCAUCGUUCCUCUGCCUCUGAAUACUCCCCUCAGAGUCUGGAUUCAGAAGCUGAGGGCUAUGAGUCAAAGCUUUACAAGUCAGGCAGUGAGUACAACCUUCCUACCUUUAUGUCCCUUUACUCACCAAUUGAGAAAUCAUCAACCACAACCACCAUAGCACCAUCAUCCACUUCCAAGCCAUUAAAGAGUGCUGAGGAGGUUUAUGAAGAGAUGAUGAGGAAAGCAGAGUUAUUUCAAAAGCAACAGAAACAACAGCAGCAGCAGUCUCCAGUAAGACACGGUCAGUACUAUGAGGAAGACAUUAAUGGACAAGGUUAUGAUGAUGAGUAUGACGAUGAACAAGAUCAAACUGGAUAUGACAAUGAUGCAAUCAAGACAGAAACUGAUAUUUAUGAGGAGAUCCGACAAACAUCUCAGAACAUCACAAAGAUGCAGCAGGCCACUGAUGAGCAAGUAGAGAUUGAGAACUCCUACUCAGACAAACAAUUUCUCGACACAGGGUCCGCCUUUACAAAACUACUGGAGCAAAGCAAUGCCCUUCUGACUCCAGGAACCAGCCCCACCCAGAUCUCUGCUCCUGUGUCUUUUGCUGAAACGGGAGGGCGCAUCCCUGAUGUUAGAGUAACUCAACACUUUGCUUCAAAGGACAGACACAAAGACAGAUUGAAAAACCAAGCGGGAGAAAAUGGAAUAACCCCAACCGUGGCUGCCACUACAAUUGCAGCUUAUGGAGUCUAUGCUAGAGAUGCUGUAACAAUUUCUCAAACAAGUACAAGCAACACUAUAACAUCCACACAAUCGUCUGUGUAUGGCAGACACACAAGUCCUGCCACAUCUUCAGCUACAGUCUCAAGUGUAUGUAGCAAGAUUGCAGAAAUUACGCAAGCAUAUAGUCAAAGAGAGGUCAUCACCAGAAGGGUAGGGGACACUCGGGGUGUCCCGGUUCGAGACAGCCCAACAUCUGCAAAUGAGCGAAUCAGUGAGCCACGCUCUCCUAAGUAUACAACUUAUUACAGGAGCACCAGCCCUCCACUUUCUCCAUCCCCACCACCACAAAGUCCCACCCGCUCCCCUUCCCGGAGGGCGACAGCUGAGUUCUCCACACAGACUUUCAAUUCAGCACUACGAAUGGACUCAGGAGGUUCUGGGCCUCCAUCUCCAGUGAUGGCUCAGGGAACCCAAACUUCACAUAGAUCGGUCUCCCCACGGCUCUACCGGCAGCAGUCGUCCCAGGAUGUGCCAUACUCUCCACCUGCAAGUCCAGGUCGUCCAAUGACGGUCAACACGGCUACAUCCCCCCUGUCUUCACCCACACGAUUUAGCCGUCAAUCUACAUUUGAUUGUUAUUCACCAUGUGGGAGCCCUCCAGAUACGCCCCCUUACCAACAUUCACCUACACGCAGCUUCUACAGAAUGCAAAGAAUAGAAAAGGUAAAUGUUGGAACAAGUAUGGUUACAACGGCCAGUACUUAUACAAGAGGUUCUAUUUCUAUGGAUAAUAUCUCCCUCUGCCGCAUAUCUACAGUCCCAGGCACAUCUAGGGUAGAGCAGAGCCAUAUGAUCCAAGGUGGAAGUGUUGUGGACCUCAGAACAGCCACCAAACCUGCUCCAAUCAUCAUGACUGAUCAAGGAAUGGAUCUCACCUCUCUAGCCACUGAAAGCAGAAAAUACCAUGGUGGAUCAGAGGGCAGCAGACAUUCAACAAUUGUACAGCCACUGAUUAUGAACCUGAAUGCCCAGGAGACCAUCACACCAACCACUGUGAGUGUAACUGUGGCAGCUUCCAUGUUUAUGACCCAGCCCAAACAACCAAUGAUCUAUGGUGAUCCCUAUGAAAAUAGAGUGGAUUUAGGUCAGGGCAUGGGUUCGGCUGUGUCUUUUUCCCAAAGCAAAACCCCUGUAUCACCUCCAAUGGACCCAUCAAUACCAAAAAUCGAUGCGAAACUUGAAGAUCUGAGUAUUCAACAGAAAGAACUACAAAAACAACAAGAGAAGCUGCAGAUGCAACAGGAGCUUCUUGAGCAGCAGUUGCAGCAGCAUCAUCAUAUGCAACAGCAACAGCAACAGGCAUCUGUUUUAGCUAGGUAUAACUUUUCAGGCCAGGUCUCACCCUUGCAGAAAAAGGAAUUGCUGGUCAGCCAAACUAGCACUGCCUCCGCUGUUGUGAGUGCUGUCUCGCCAGUCAUCAACCAUGAGAUGUAUGGAACUGGACCCAUUGAGCUGAAAGGAAAGCCCAGUCCUCCUGGCGUGAUUACUGGAGGGAAAACACCACAUAGUAUGGUCGUACAGAUAGAUGGUGGGCAAGACCAUGUCAGAGCAGUGACCCAGCUUAUAAACAUCGAAGAAGGACAGGAUGCUGCAGAUCUGACAGGGGGCCAGAUUAAACCUGACAACCAACUAGCUUGCUGUGAUGUUGUUUACAGACUUCCCUUUGGUGGAAGCUGUGUUGGCACUUCUGAGAAAGACGGCAUACGGCCUCCUUCCGCACCACCUCUUUCCUACGAUUCUGAUCAAGAAAGACAACCUGGGAGGUACCGUGAAUAUGCAUUGGAUGGACACAAGACCUAUACAUUGUCUUAUCCAGGCAGGCUUCAACCUUCAAUGUCUGAUACAAACCUGGCUGAGGCAGGGCUACAAUCCUACCAUUCUAAACCAGAACCCCAUCUUCAAGCCCAAGGAGAAUUUGCAAUGGAUCUAAAUGCUGUAAAACAUGGCUAUGGAGGGUAUAUUGGGAUGCAGUAUGGCUCAUACACAGAUUUGCGUCAUGGUGGAGAACUCUCUGCCCCAACAUUGCCUAUACGGAGAUACAAUUCCUUGUCUAACAUAAAUUCAGACUAUGGCUACUCUGCUCGUGACAUUGCGAAUUUCCAGGAAGCUAAUUUAGCUCAAUACAGCGCCACAACUGCCAGAGAGAUCAGCCGAAUGUGUGCUGCACUUAAUUCAAUGGAUCGAUAUGGAAGCAACCCAGAUCUGAUGCAGUUCGGGAGUCUAGGGAGAGGAACCAGCCCAGCAACCUCAAGACUAUCAGCUGGUCUUGGCUUGAGACAAAAUCUGCUUUUUGGAUUAGAUGGAAAGCCAUUAUCCCACAACCAAGCACUUACGAACCUCAUAAAUGCUAGACAGGCCAGUCUGAGAGCUAUGUACCCUGCAGCCAUUCGGUCCUCGGAUGGGAUGAUCUACUCCACCAUUCAGACACCCAUUGCCUCUACCCUACCUAUUACGACUCAGCCUGCUUCUGUUCUUCGACCACUACUGAGAGGGGUUUACAGGCCUUACCCAUCUGCCAACAUGACACCUGUGCCCCUCUCUAGUCUCACCAGAUUACCAAUAAAUCCCAGAAUGUCUUUGUCUGGACAAUCUACAAUCCGUUACCCUGGACCAGGUCUUCUCCAAACGACAUCAACCUCUGCCACUAUUGCUGAUACCAUAACAACUUUAGCGCCAGCGAGUGCCCCAGUAUCUGUUCCCAUGGAAGCUACCCCCUCUACACUCCAAGAUGAACCAGUUUACCUUGGUAAAGGUGCUGUAGUAAUCUCUUCAUCAGGAGAAGUUGCAUCAGUUGACCCACAGCAUCAACCGCUAAACAUGUCCCAAGCACACCUGUACAGUCAACAACAACAACAACAACAGACACAAGCAACAACUGCUCAGUGUUACACGUCAGUCGGCCUUCCAGAUUCUUCUAGCGGUUUAGCAGUAGCAGGGGGCCUACCUACCUUCCCCCCGCCUGGUGCUAUACACAAAGAGGGUGAAACUGAGGCAGAAAGGCUGCAUCGGCAGCAAGAGCAGCUUCUGCAGAUGGAGAGGGAGCGUGUAGAACUUGAAAAACUCCGGCAACUGCGCCUCCAGGAAGAGCUGGAACGAGAAAGGAUUGAGCUGAAGAUGCACAGAGAGAAGGAGCAUAUCCUGGUGCAGAGAGAAUUACAGGAGUUGCAGAACAUCAAGGAACAGGUUCUGCAACAGCAGCAACAAGAACGAGAGAAACAACUUGUUGUCCAGAGGGAACAGCUGGCCCAGCAGAAGUCCCAGCUCGACCAGAUCCAGUCCUUACAACAACAGCUCCAGCAGCAGCUUGUAGAACAGAAGCGACAGAAAACAGCCACUGCAGUCCAGAACAUGCAGAUGGAUGUGAAUGGACAGCCUUUACAUCCUUACACUGACCAUCAAAUUGGAUCCCGCUCCCUCCCCAACUCCUCCUCAGAAAUGUGUCUGAGGAGCCAUGAGGAGCAUGUUGAGAACCAGAGCAACAUGAGGAAACACAGCUCCAUGACUAGACUAAGCAGAGACAGCUUGGAUGGAGAAGGCAUGGUCUUCCAUGUAUCCCCUCGCAGGAAUGUGGACAGUUGUGUGCAGACGGAUGAUGAAGAUGGGGAGGAGAGGUACAUGAUGCGUCAUCGAACCAGGCGGCGUGGUCGCAGCGUGGACUGCUCCGUUCAGACAGAUGACGAUGAGGAAAAGGCUGAAACAGGGCAGCCGGUCCGACGAAGACGCUCUCGUUACUCUAGACAUUCCGAAUCCAGUGCCACUGGCAGCGGAACUGCCACAGGUACAGCUGCCACUGGCACCAAAACCAGCACCUCUAAGAUGGCAUCCUCCAGUACAGCCGUCCAAACAAUCAGGGAAAUGUCCUGCCAAACUGAACUGGAGCACCUCGGAAGAAUUUCCCCUGCAAUCCAUGUGACAUUACCAGACCCAAAUAAAGUAGAGAUUGUGCACUACAUCUCAGGACCCGAACGGACAAAAACGGGACAGUCGCUAGCAUGCCAGACUGACCCAGAAGCCCAGUCACAAGGUGUUGUCGCUCCACAGCUCAGCGUACCAACCACAGUGAGCCCGUAUUCUUCCUCCACCAGCAGCGGAAUCCACCAAUCUGGUUCGACUGACCUUUCCACACAGCAGCGCCAGCAGCAGCAUAUCACAGCAAAUGCAGCUAAGUUUGAGCACCGCCGUCCUGACCCACUCGACAUGAACUACCAGCCCCACAACCAUCUGCACAAUGAGUCCAUCUCCAGUAUCAUCCGGCACCAGCAGACAGUCCCGAAAUCCCCACAGGUCCUCUACUCACCUGUCUCCCCGGUGUCCCCUCAUCGCCUGUUGGAGAAUUCACUAUCAAGUGAGAGGCUGAACAAAGCCCAUGUCACACCUCAGCAGAAGUCAUACACUGCAGAGUCCCCCCAACGACAUCCCUCCAUGCCCAGACCAAUCAAGAGCACUCAAAGGUCCAUGUCAGACCCUAAAUCACUUAGUCCUACUACUGAUGAGCACACCAAGGCUAGGCUGUCCCUGUAUCAACAACAAGCACUCCAGAACCAGCUGGCAGCCCUUCAUCAGAGUUCGCUGCUCCGUAAAGUCAAGAGAACCCUGCCCAGCCCUCCUCCCGAGGAGACAACUACAUCAGUUCAUCUACCCCUGAUGACACCUGCCCUCCAACAGGUCUACUUGCCAGCCGUGCCCAGCCUCAAGCCCAGCUCCAGGUCUGGUCUAGCCGCCAAAGCCAGUCUUCUCAAAGACCUCACCCAUGAGCUGAAGGCAGUGGAGCAAGAAUCAACCAAGCUGAGAAAGCAGCAAGCUGAACUGGAGGAGGAGGAGAAGGAGAUUGAUGCUAAACUGAGAUACCUUGAGCUAGGGAUCCACCAAAGGAAAGAGACGCUGGUCAAGGAGAGAGAGAGGAGGGAUAUUGCUUAUCUGAGGUGUAUGGGUGAUGCUCGGGACUAUAUGUCUGAUAGCGAGUUAAACAACCUACGAUUGGCAGCUGCAGCUGCAUCACAUGAGGCCAAUGGACUAUUGACAACAAGACCAAGUACUGCUCCUCUCAGCCAGUUCAGCAAUGAUCUGAACACAGCAGCCCAGUACACGCCUACAUCAUCAUUCCACUCUCAGUACUCACAGAGCCAACCAGCUGCACCAACUCAAUCAAGUUUACCCUACCAGUCAUCAACAUUUAACCAAGCUCCUUAUCCAACAGUGUCUCAAUCCCAGGCACUACCACAGCCGACUCCCCUCCACAGUCAUGGUCACCCAUCGGGACCAUCCUACCAAUCUCAAACCUCAUACUCUUCUCACACCUACCCCCAAACUCAACCACCAUAUCCCCAAACAGACAUAGGGUUGCCAAGUGCACCGCAACCUCAGCCCCAACCAGGGCACACAGGUUUUGGGCCUGCACCACCUGGUCAGCCCCCAUACCCCACCCACAGCUCACCGUAUCCGAGUGCUGUGUCCUCUUACCCCAGCCAGAGUACCCCUUACCCUGGGCAACCCCAAACAGAUAUUUUGACAGUACAUCAAGGAAGGCCAAGGCAGACGUCGCUGGCUGAUCUGGAGCAUAAGCUGCCGACCAAUUACGAGAUAAUCAGCAACCCUACAGUUGUGGUUACCACCACGGCACAAGACGGCGCCUAUUCCAGUUCAACUGCCUCAUUUGGUCAAUACACUGGAACGACAACCAUGGCCAACUAUGGACCCUAUGGCUCAGCAACGGUGUCCAGUUGUUAUGGUGGGUUCUCUACCAUUCCACCAAGUACUUAUGGACAGUAUACAUCACCUACAGUUAAUUCAUAUGGCCAGUACACCACAACCACCGCUAAUGCAUAUGGCUACACAGCAACAACAGCCAGCUCAUAUGGACAGUACACGUCGACAGUUUCCAAUGCCUAUGGGCAUGCUGUGGAUAGUCCCUCCACCUACAGUACAGCAGAUGGCAUGUAUGGGGCACCUGGUUUAGAACAAAAUAUCCCAAGAAACUACAUGAUGAUAGAUGAUGUAAGUGAGCUGACGGCAAAAAAUGGGCUGGGCACGACAACAGGGGAAAUGAUGCAUCACAGCGGCACGGGGCGUUACCCUGGUGACACCCAUGGCCACAGCAGCACCAUUGGCAGCACGGCGCGUGGGGGAACUGGCAGCUCCAUAUACGGCAGGGCACCCGAGGAGGAAGCAGCGAUGCAGGAAGAAUUGUACGACCACCAUGGCAGGGGUAAGAGCAGCUACAGACACGGACCUCUAGGGGGCAGCAGCAGCGUGAGCAAUAGCAUGGGUGGGGGAUCCUCCUAUUACUAUGACUAUGACUACAAACAUGGCAGCUACCGAUCCGGGGUGCCGAAAUCAUCGUCCCCCAGAAGCCUUUUGGCUCCUGCUGUCAUGUCCACCAAACGCAGCAAGCACAGAAAACUGGGCAGUAUGGAGCAGAAAAUCUCCAAAUUCUCCCCCAUUGAGGAGGCUCUGGAUGUAGAGGCAGACCUGGCCUCCUAUUCUUCAGCAGCUGGUGGAGGUUACCCCUCCUCCCACAUCCGAGGACGUCAGCUGAUAGAGGACUACGGCUUCAAGAGGAGUACUUACGACGCCGGCAGUGGCAUCACCCAUGGUAGUCGGUACUUUGGCUCAAUGGGAGAGGAGGAUGAUCGGAUUUACUACACUUCCACUGGCCGCUCACGUUCCACCGGCUAUGGCAUGGACAAGAUCACAGCCAGAGACUACUCUGGGUACCGCAGCAGAUCCUAUGAGAGGGAUGACCGCGCCUACCGAUCUGGUUUUAGCCGGGGACGCCAUCCCACUAGACAGUACUCUGAAGAGGAGAGCCCACUCAGUCCCAAGGGGAGAUUCAUGGGCUCCGAGCGAUCAUCAAGCUUAGGUCCUGACCCAUAUGACAGUCGCAGCAGUAGAUACCAUUACUAUUAUGGCCAAUAUGGUUCCAGUCACUCUCUGCCAGAUGUGCAAGACCACAUACGGGACCUACCCCGGACCCAUGUCUACAAGUCGGAUGAUACAUACAUAAUAGACGAUUAUCACUGUGCUGUGUCAGACAGUGAAGCCUACCAUCUGGGCCAGGAAGAGACAGACUGGUUUGAGAAGCCACGUUCCAGUUCUCGGCACUAUGGCAGCAGCCACUCAUCUGGAAGGAGUCGCCACGGUGUCAAACACACCUAUCAUGAUUACGAUGAGCCUCCUGAGGAGGACCUGUGGCCUCAGGAUGAAUAUGGCCAUGGAGGACGACACUCGUCAUCCACCCGCGACCAUCGGCAUCAUGGCAGCUCAAGUCGGCACUCAUCCUCAUCACGUCAUUCAGAUGAACCAAGGUCCUCUAGGUCAUCUAAAGGACACCCGAAAGACCCGUCCAUACGGCAUGACCCUUCAGGGCGGUCUUCAUCAUCAGGAAGACGUGGCGAUUCAAGGUCUGGAGCCUACCACUCGUCUGACUACUUGCGAGAUCCAUCUAGCCACCAUCAUAGCCAGAGAUCCUCUAGACAAGGGGAUCCACAUCGCUCCUCGCGCAGCAAGUCUCAGCAACAAGUCGACAUGCAGGGCCAACCACCAGGUACCUCCAGGUCUGGCUCUUCUUCAAGGGGACAGUGUCCUGCCGGUGGUCCUACAGGAUCCGGGCGACAGGUUGGUCAAGUUUCCCAGAACGACGGUGCCCCAGGACAGAGGAUGCAGCUCCAACAACAAGCCCAGACUUCGACCGCAAGGAUGGGGCAGCAAGGGCCCCUAACCACCACCAGUGCCCAGCAACAGCCCCUAACCCAGGGACAAAGCAUGGGGGUGGGGCAGGGCCAGGCCAAACCAGGGCAAAUGGGAGCAACGGGUGGACCUAUGGGUCAGACCAGGCAAACGGGUUCCACGGGAACGGGAACAUCACCUGCCCCCAUGGCCAAGAUUGAGACACCUCCAGCGACAGCCAUCGGCGCAAAAGCAGCGCCUGUCAUGGCCUCAAAAGCAGCUCAACCGCCACUGACUGGCAUAGGCUCCAAAGCUGCUCCGAGGCCGGGCGGCAUAGGCAGUGCAGCACCAGGUCAGCCAGGCAUGGAGGGAGACAGCAUGUUGUCCAAGAUCUUGCCGGGAGGAGCUGCCGAGCAAGCUGGGAAACUGGGAGAAGCUAUAUCCGGUUUUGGCAAAAAGUUCACCUCUUUCUUCUAAAGUGCUAUGUUUAAGGACUAUGUAAAAACACAAAGCCAUGAGCCCUUGUACCAGACAAACCUGCCACGUUCCUCUUGAUUUUCAUUCCCUAAAAGAGAGAAAGAGGAGGAGAGCGGGCGAAGUGGAGAAUCAAGCAUUUAAAUCAUUCCAGGGGUCUAGUCUUCGCUUCAAAAGUCCACCUUGACUUCAAACCGCGUUGGAGACAAAACCGCCCACUGGGGGCCCAACAUCAAGAACAAUGCUGAAGAAGCAGUCGAGUACAAUCAAUAAGGAUCAUGUACCGCCAGUCAAUCAUGUGGAUCUAACUUAGCAGCAAGCAUCACUUGCAGAACAUGAACGGCGCCAUGUAUCCAGUCGAAUGCAAACUCAUCCAAGAAAGCAGCUUUGCUCUUCUUCCACUUACUCUCUUCUGAAGAAUUAUGAAGCGAGAGGGACGUAGAAUAAUUGCAGUGCAGGUUUUUCUGGUACCGACCACCUCAUUCUUUCUUCACCUGUCCAAUUCAAGGGAACACAUCACAUGGAAUGACAACACCGACGUGGUGCGUGCGUGCGUGCGUGCGUCUCUUUUCCACUAUUUGUCCUCUUUCUAUCUACAUUCCAGAUUACGACUUCUCUUCCACACUGUGUCCUAUCCCGUUUUCUAAUUCCCACCCCAAAGCUCCUCAAUUUGUCUUGAAAGAAUUAUAUGGUGGAGGGGGAGAAUUUGGAAUGCAUGGAACUUUCUAGACCUUUACACUGUUCGUCACCACUAAGCAGAGGCCAUAAAGACACUGGCAAAUGGAUUGGAGCGGAGACGGAAUAGAAAUGGAUGUGUGUCUAAAAGAAAGGGGGAAAAAAGUAUUCAGAGGCAAGCCAUUACGAAGCCAUUUUUUGUGGUGAAUUGUUUUCUCAGCUGUUCACUGUUUCCCACAUUGUGAAUUUUUACUUUGUUCUGUUGCCAGCACAGCCUUAUUUAUUUGUUUUAUUUUAAAAUUGACUAUUUUUUUAUGACAUCCAUGAACACACCAUGUAUUUCUUCAAGUAUAUGCUGACUGUGAGAUUCAUUUUGAUGUUCUUAUCACUUUUUUUUUAAUUGUGUCACUUUUGUUGCCAAGCCCCCUCUCUCUUUUUUUGAUUUAAAUGUGUUGUUAACACUCACAGAGUUAUGAACAACAACAAAGCAAUAGAGUGAAAAGAGACGGUCAAUAGCACAAUGAUGUGUCAUUCGAAAAAGUAGAAAUGUGUUGCCUCUGUCUGUCUAAUUUACUGGUGAGUGACGCUCACCAAUCAGCAUAUGAGGAAACGUAAACCCACCCGCUCCCCGAUCCCUCAACCUCUUCAGUGUUGUACUAAAGCUGUGGCUCACUAAUACAGCAAAACAACCUGCAAACGAUCACGGUGGGACAUCUCUAGCCACGAGUCACUGAUGCAGCCGAGAGCGCUGCAGCAGUGAAGAAGCAGACCCCGGCCUUUGCAUCCUAACCUGGAUUUUGAGGUCACUUUGGGACAUUACCCCCACAUGCGUCCUUUGCCCAAGCCCCAGACCUCACCUGUCAUCAGUAUGUAUCAGCAUGUGUCUUCACUCGUUGAAUGUGCGUGGCGCACAUUAAAGCACACUCCAAAAUGGUGUCAAAAGAGGAAAAAAAGGAACCAAAUAACCCCUUUUUUUUUUUUUUCUUCUCUCACCCUGACCUUUAACCUUUCUCAGUUGUCAUGGAAACUACUCAGGUCAGUGUUCUCCCUCCUGCUGAUGACGCUCCUGCAGUGCAUUGUGGGUUCUGGGCUUUGCCUGCGCGCCACACGACAGCGACAACAAACGUACUGUCCUGGCCGAACGAAACCCACAUUUGUGUUGUAUAUUGUCCGUGAGAACGCUCAGCGGGGACCUUCGCAUGCUACCCGGCGUUGACAGAAAAAAAAAAGGAAAAGAAAGAAAAACCUCAAAGUCACCUCUAUAAAACGUUUGUGUGUGUUGUGCGUAUGGGUGUGGCAGUUCUGUUCCUAUCCAUCUGCCAAUGAGGAACGUAAAACAGUUCAAUCAAGCGCUACAGGUACGGUAUGGGGCUAAAAGGCAACCGCUCAUCUCCACUCGUUCUAUGCAAUGAAUCCCAUUUGGUAACAGUGCAAAUAUGAGCAAGAAAAGUGGGCAAAAAGUCACCGCGAUAGCCGAACGCUACGGUUUUGACAUUCAUUAAAUAAUAGCAUCGAUGUAAGUACAAGAUGUUUCUUUUAGUUAGUGUUUAGCUGGGAAAUGGCCGAUUUGUGGCACAUAAGGUAUCGGUUAGCCCUCAUUAUCUUCAGCGGGAGGGGAUCAAUUUGACCCCAUAAAAUGUUUAACAUCUCUAAAUGACAGAUCGACUUUUCAAAUUGAAUUACUUUCCUAAUUUUAAUAAGGACAACUGAGUAAAAUUAACGCCACUACUUCAUAUACAUGAUGAUCUGUACACCUCGCGUUUAAAGUCGAUACAUUUUUAGCAAUUUAAUUCAGAGUCACUUAUUAUUGAGAUUUUUUGAAUACUUUUCAGAAGACCAAUUCUGACCUAAUCUCCAUGUCUUUAUUUCUUAUGUAAUGUUCUAAUUUUUUUUAUAUAAUGGUGAAUUUGGGGAUUUUGUUAGCCGCUCCAAAUUCUAAAAAAUGAAAUCAUUAUUUCGUCCACUGCGUAGUGAAUCCAUAUAAUACAGUUUAUGAGUUUCACUUCUGAAUUGAACCACUGAAAUUCAGUAGUAAUAAAAGUAGUAAUAGGUUUUCCAUGAUACUCGUAUUUCUUGAGAUGCACCUGUAAGAGCUAUUUAGACUCGGGUCAAAUAAUUCAGUUUGAAUUAUUUCUGGCAGGUCAAAUUGCUGUGGUCAAAUUGACCCGAAGUAAACAAAAGUUAGUAAAUUUGAAAGUAAAAAAAGACGAAAAAGGCAAAUGUGAUAACAUAAUGCAGGCAUUAGCAGUCCAUCCGAGACGUCAGUCAUUAGUAGUGAUGUUGCUUCAAGUCUGGGUUAACUUGGCGAAGAGAGAUUGUGCAAUUAUGUGGAAUGAACCAUUCCGACAUGCUUUGUAUAUGUUCUUUUCGAAUAAGAAUUUUCAAACUAAAACAAUAUUAAAUAGAAUACCAACUUCAAAAUGGGUCAAUUUGACCUGUACCAUCACAGGAGGGUUCAAUGUAUCAUGACAAGAACGGCGACGGGGGACAACACAAUUGCUAUUUUUGUUGAGAGUACAAAUCUGUUAACUCAAAGAAGUCUAUUUUUUUGUGAAAUAUGAAUGAGAUUAUUUAAAAAAUUAUUUUAUGAUAAGCGAAUGGGAUGUUGUACUGUUCGGGAUUUCAGAAAGGAGGACACUGAAUGUGUUUUAACAUAUAAAAAAAAAAAGGAGAUAGAGUGGAAAGUAAUGUUUCAUAAACAGCUGAAUGAAGACAAAACUUUAAAUAUUCAGAUUGGAAUAUGAGAAUCUCAGUUAUAUGUAACUGACUUUAGUUUUUCAUAUCAAAAGUCAUAAUAAUAAACUAUAUUCUCAACAUUGUAAAACAGAUCGGAUCUUCACGUGGCUUCUAAUGUCAAUAUUUCCUAAUUUUGCAACUGUUCUGAGUUCACGUUUGCUUGUCUCAAUCAGCCAAUCAAGGUGACUUAAAUAUGCAUUGCAGCAAGGGCUUUAAUUCUGCAUGAUAAUACUAGUCAUUGAAGAAAGCCAUUGAAGCAGUUGUGCUGUCUGUCUGCACUCUGUAGGUGUCUUGUCUAUUUCUAGGAAAAUAAUAGACUUCACUUGAGAGUGAAAAUCUUCAGUCCACUGCAUGUUUGAAGCACAAAUGUAGACAACAAUACACAUAUAUUGCAGUCGAUAAACAUUUUGACAUUAAAUUUGCUUUGUAUUUAAAAAAAAAAAAAAGGAUCGAAAAAGCCCCACGACUGGUAAACUCUGUUUUAAGUGCAAAAUGCAAAAAUAGAGCAGGAUACGUUUUGGAGUGUUAUGACACUUUGAGGCCGUGAGCGGACACUAGCACCCUUUUUUUCUUUUGUAAGUUUAUCACACGAUAGCCUCGGCAAUACGUUUUUCUAAGAAUCCAUUUUAAGACUCUUUACAUUAUUUAAAUUCAUUUGAUCUUCAAUUGUUUUGUUGUUCCGCAUUUAAUCAUUUUACCCUUAAGGUUGCAGACAUGAAAAAGUACAGAUGUUGUAAAUGUUGCUCAGAGAUUUUUUUCCCCCCAGCCUAUGAGUGGUCCACACGGUUUUACAGUAGUACAUAGAGCAGCAUGACAAGAGCAAGAUCUUAAAAUAUAUUGUGUAUUAUAAAUAAAGAUAUUCAUGAAGAGAUGUUUUAGCUGAGCAGGAGUAGAAAGGAGACAAACUAAGACAAGCUAUAAAAUCAUAUGGGAGUGUGUUUGUUUGUUGGUGUGUUUGUCCAUAUAAAGAAUCCUAAGAUGACGUGCAUGAAUUGACACCUGCCCCAGAAAUCCUUAAACAAAGCCCACCCAAACCUCUUUCCUUGAGUUUUUGAGCCUCGUUGACAUUCCACCUUACGAGUUGCCAUAUUUUUUAGUUUGAUCUUAGUGUAAAUAGCCGAUAAAGCCACUUUCCACAAAAAUGGCAGGGUUUUUUUUUUUUCAACAUGUAAAUGUCAGCAAUGAUAACACAAAGAAGCACGAGUGGGGGGCCUUUUGCACGGCACACGGCAUCACAAGCUGGAGCGUAUGCAAGCCUCAGCCUCCAUAGAGCCAAACGUGUACUUUGUGUAUAAAAAGAACUUAAAGAGAGCUUAAGGUUAAAUAACAAAAGGACAAACAUUGGCAUUGUGUGUGUGGCUGGCUCGUGCCAACUGUUUUAAUAUCAUUUCCAAAAAAAAAAAACUUGGAAUCUGAUAUGGAAAAAAAAAUACUGGUCUGUGUGGAGUUUCUAUAAAUGUUGUGUUUGUAAAAUGAGAUGCCAUUAAAAACAAAAGGUGGGUACUUUAUCUGGCUUCCAUGUAAAUUACGGGGUGGGCAGAUGACAUUCGGAGGGCCUGAAAUGGACAAUAAGUGUAAAAAUCAUAAUUAUGUAAAAAAAAAAAAAAAAAAAAUGAAAAUGAAAAAAAAAACAGAUGAGGCUGGAGAUGAAAAAAAGAGCCUAAUCAUAACAACGUUCACUGUUGUAAGUGCAAUGAGCUAAACUUCCUGUUUCCCCCCCGCCCCCCAUUGUAAAACCUUGUGUAUGUUUCCGUGUGUUCCUCCUGUAAAUGGGUGUAGUAGACCUGGUGCAUCAUGCCAUGUAAUGUGAUGAAUGACAAAUUAUGACCUUAAAAUACAUUUCAAUCAGGAAAAAUAAACUACAAAUGCAUAUGAAACAGCUGUGGAUAUUUUAUUUUUGCAUACAUUGUAAUUGAAGACUGUAAGAAUAAGGCACAAUGGUGGUACAGCUUCGCACAACACUGCAACGUACAGUAUAUUAUUAUUUUAAUUAUUGUCUUUUAUGGUUUAUGUAGAGCACAUUCUUUUACAGCUGCAGUUGUUAAAGUGCUCUUUUCAAAUCACGAUACGUCUGCAUUAGCACCUCCAAUUCCAAGGGGGGGGGGGGGGGGGGGGG